rnacentral:SRP_RNA from 1 species
GCUGGGUGUGAUGGUAUACGCCUGUAGUCCCAGCUACUCAGGAGGCUGAGGUAGGAGGAUCACUUGAGCCCAGGAGUUUUUGAGGCUGCAGUGAGCUAUGAUAGUGCCACUGUACUUGUAGCCUGGGUGACAGAGUGAGACCCUGUCUCUA